ACAUUCUAAUGAAGCUGAGGUCACUGUCAGGGGAUUUCUGAUUCAUCCGGCAGGGCAGGCGUGGUCCUCGAACGUUUCUUCGUUUCUAAAAGCUGAUAAGCAGAAGCUUCUAGGGCUUUUCUGAGUUUAGGAGGUCAGUCAGGGCAUCACUCCUGAGCUCAGGGGGUCAAGGGGUCACCGGUGACACGGCCUGGACGGGGAACUAAGAAACCCAGGCCCAGAAGAAUUUCAGCUGUGUGCCGCCCACUUACCUGCCCCAACUGCCCGGGAUGGUUGGAGGUGAAGGUGUAAGGCCUGACACCCGGCCCUGACAGGGAGGGGGAAGAAGCUUUGACCCCUGAGAGGCAGAGCCAGCCCCGAAGACACCUGGGGUGCAGGUGGGGCUGUGAACCAGGGGAGGGAGAGGCAAAGACCAUCAGAGCCACCUGAGCCUCCUGCCCGCUAAGCCUGCAGGUCCCCCGCUCACCCGGGGCACUCACUGAUGGUGGUCUUCCAUGCCAAGACCUGGGGACACAGGGAAGGGUCUG
rnacentral:lncRNA from 1 species